GGGGAUGUAGAUCAGUGGUAGAGCACUUGCCUUGCAUGCAUGAGGCCCUGGGUUCGAGCCUCAGCACCCUA
rnacentral:tRNA from 1 species